rnacentral:tRNA from 1 species
CAGAAAAUAGUUUAAUAUUAAAUAUUAAUUUUGGAUAUUAAAGAUAGACCCUAUUCUUUUUCUGA